CAGGUACUUCAGGCAGCCCAGGUAACAGGGGAAGACACAUUGUAACAGACAAUAAUCAAGUGUCUUCACCAGCAGUGCCUCAGCUGUUACCUCUGCCAGAGUCAAGCGUAUGCCAGCCUCCACAUGAUGGUACUGCAGGCAGCCCAGUUUACAGGGGAAGACACAUUGUACCAGACAAUAAUCCAGUGUCUUCACCAGCAGUGCCUCAGCUGUUACCUCUGCCAGGGCCAAGCUUAUGUCAGCCUCCACAUGAAGGUACUGCAGGCAGUCCAGCUAAGAGGAGAAGAUCCAUUGUAGCAGACAGUAAUCCAGUGUCUUCAAAAGCAGUGCCUCAGCUGUUACCUCUGCCAGGGCCAAGCUUAUAUCAGCCUCCACAUGAUGGUGAGUGCCCUCUAUUUAAUUUCUAGUGGUUGACACAAGGAUUUUUACUGAGUCAAAUCCGAAAUCUACAUUACACUCUGUUGUCUCCCACU